rnacentral:rRNA from 1 species
AUGGCCGCCUCCACCGUCGCGUCCAGGGCCGUGGCCGUCCUCGCCGUCCUGUCGGUCGCCGCCCUCUCCGUCGUCUCCGCGCAGGAGGCCCCGGCGCCGAGCCCCGUGUCGGCCGCCGGCGCAGCGGCGCCGUCCCUCGCCGCAGCGCUCGUCGCCUCCGGCGCCGCCUUCCUCUUCGCCGCCGUCCGCCACUGA